rnacentral:rRNA from 1 species
GGAGCCGUAGCGAAAGCGAGUUUUAACUGAGCGUUCAGUUACUUGACGUAGACCCGAAACCGGGCGACCUACCCAUGAGCAGGAUGAAGCGAAAGUAAAAUUUCGUGGAGGUCCGAACCCACGAGCGUUGAAAAGCUCGGGGAUGACUUGUGGGUAGCGGUGAAAUUCCAAUCGAGCCCGGAGAUAGCUGGUUCUCCCCGAAAUAGCUUUAGGGCUAGCCUCAAGGUGAGAGAUACGGAGGUAGAGCACUGAAUGUCCUAGGGGGUAUUGCACCUACCGAAGACUAUCAAACUCCGAAUGCCGUCAUCUUAUACUUGGGAGUCAGACUGUGGGUGAUAAGAUUCAUAGUCGAAAGGGCAACAGCCCAGAUCGUCAGCUAAGGUCCCUAAAUGUAAGUUAAGUGGUAAAGGAUGUGGGAUUGCACAGACAACCAGGAUGUUGGCUUAGAAGCAGCCACUCAUUCAAAGAGUGCGUAAUAGCUCACUGGUCGAGUGAUCCUGCGCCGAAGAUUUCCGGGGCUAAAACUUACUACCGAAGCUACGGCAUCAGUAAUGAUGGGUAGGGGAGCUUCCCAUACGGGU